AUUGAACGCUGGCGGCAUGCUUUACACAUGCAAGUCGAACGGCAGCGCGGGCUUCGGCCUGGCGGCGAGUGGCGAACGGGUGAGUAAUGCAUCGGAACGUGCCCAGUAGUGGGGGAUAGCCCGGCGAAAGCCGGAUUAAUACCGCAUACGACCUGAGGGUGAAAGCGGGGGACCGAAAGGCCUCGCGCUAUUGGAGCGGCCGAUGUCGGAUUAGCUAGUUGGUGGGGUAAAGGCUUACCAAGGCGACGAUCCGUAGCUGGUCUGAGAGGACGACCAGCCACACUGGGACUGGGACCCGGCCCAGACUCCUACGGGAGGCAGCAGUGGGGAAUUUUGGACAAUGGGGGCAACCCUGAUCCAGCCAUGCCGCGGGCGGGAAGAAGGCCUUCGGGUUGUAAACCGCUUUUGUUCGGGAAGAAAUCCUCUGGGCUAAUACCCCGGGGGGAUGACGGUACCGGAAGAAUAAGCACCGGCUAACUACGU
rnacentral:rRNA from 1 species